CUACCAUGCAGUCGAGCGAUUUACUUCGGUAAAGAGCGGCGGACGGGUGAGUAACGCGUGGGUAACCUGCCUCAUACACAUGGAUAACAUACCGAAAGGUAUGCUAAUACAGGAUAAUAUAAGAGAUUCACAUGGAUUUUUUAUCAAAGCUCCGGCGGUAUGAGAUGGACCCGCGUCUGAUUAGCUAGUUGGUAAGGUAAUGACUUACCAAGGCGACGAUCAGUAGCCGACCUGAGAGGGUGAUCGGCCACAUUGGAACUGAGACACGGUCCAAACUCCUACGGGAGGCAGCAGUGGGGAAUAUUGCACAAUGGGCGAAAGCCUGAUGCAGCAACGCCGCGUGAGUGAUGAAGGCCUUCGGGUCGUAAAACUCUGUCCUCAAGGAAGAUAAUGACGGUACUUGAGGAGGAAGCCCCGGCUAACUACGUGCCAGCAGCCGCGGUAAUACGUAGGGGGCUAGCGUUAUCCGGAUUUACUGGGCGUAAAGGGUGCGUAGGUGGUUUUUUAAGUCAGGAGUGAAAGGCUACGGCUCAACCGUAGUAAGCUCUUGAAACUGGAAAACUUGAGUGCAGGAGAGGAAAGUGGAAUUCCUAGUGUAGCGGUGAAUGCGUAGAUAUUAGAGGAACACCAGUAGCGAAGCGGCUUUCUGGACUGUAACUGACACUGAGCACGAAAGCGUGGGGAGCAAACAGGAUUAGAUACCCUGGUAGUCCACGCCGUAAACGAUGAGUACUAGUGGUCGGGGGUUACCCCCCUCGGUGCCGCAGCUAACGCA
rnacentral:rRNA from 1 species